UACGGAGGGGGCUAGCGUUGUUCGGAAUUACUGGGCGUAAAGCGCACGUAGGCGGAUCGUUAAGUCGGGGGUGAAAUCCUGGAGCUCAACUCCAGAACUGCCUUCGAUACUGGCGAUCUAGAGUCCGGAAGAGGUGAGUGGAACUCCUAGUGUAGAGGUGGAAUUCGUAGAUAUUAGGAAGAACACCGGUGGCGAAGGCGGGUCUCUGGGCAACAACUGACGCUGAGGAGCGAAAGCGUGGGGAGCGAACAGG
rnacentral:rRNA from 1 species